rnacentral:rRNA from 1 species
UACGUAGGGGGCAAGCGUUGUCCGGAUUUAUUGGGCGUAAAGAGCGUGUAGGCGGCCAGACAGGUCCGUUGUGAAAACUCGAGGCUCAACCUCGAGAUGUCGAUGGAAACCGUCUGGCUAGAGUCCGGAAGAGGAGUGUGGAAUUCCUGGUGUAGCGGUGAAAUGCGCAGAUAUCAGGAGGAACACCAAUAGCGAAGGCAGCUCGCUGGGACGUUACUGACACUGAGGCGCGAAAGCGUGGGGAGCGAACAGG